GACGAACGCUGGCGGCGCGCUUAACACAUGCAAGUCGAGCGAGAACCGGGCCUUCGGGCCUGGGGACAGCGGCGAACGGGUAAGUAACACGUGGGUAACCUGCCCUCGACACCGGGAUAGCUCGGGGAAACCCGGAUUAAUACCGGACAGCCUCCGGAGCCUUCGGGCGCCGGAGAAAAGGUGGCUUCGGCUUCCGGUCGAGGAUGGGCCUGCGGCGGAUUAGCUUGUUGGCGGGGUAACGGCCCACCAAGGCGACGAUCCGUAGCUGGUCUGAGAGGACGAUCAGCCACACUGGGACGAAGACACGGCCCAGACUCCUACGGGAGGCAGCAGUGGGGAAUCUUGCGCAAUGGGCGAAAGCCUGACGCAGCGACGCCGCGUGCGGGAAGAAGGCCUUCGGGUUGUAAACCGCUUUCAGGAGGGACGAAGCCACUCGGGUUAAUAGCCCAGAGGGUGACGGUACCUCCAGAAGAAGCCCCGGCUAACUACGUGCCAGCCGCCGCGGUAAAAC
rnacentral:rRNA from 1 species